rnacentral:rRNA from 1 species
CUACGGGAUGCACCAGUGGGGAAUAUUGGACAAUGGGCGCAAGCCUGAUCCAGCCAUGCCGCGUGAGUGAUGAAGGCCCUAGGGUUGUAAAGCUCUUUCGCCAGGGACGAUAAUGACGGUACCUGGAUAAGAAGCCCCGGCUAACUUCGUGCCAGCAGCCGCGGUAAUACGAAGGGGGCUAGCGUUGUUCGGAAUCACUGGGCGUAAAGCGCACGUAGGCGGAUCUUUAAGUCAGGGGUGAAAUCCCGAGGCUCAACCUCGGAACUGCCUUUGAUACUGGAGGUCUCGAGUCCGGGAGAGGUGAGUGGAACUGCGAGUGUAGAGGUGAAAUUCGUAGAUAUUCGCAAGAACACCAGUGGCGAAGGCGGCUCACUGGCCCGGAACUGACGCUGAGGUGCGAAAGCGUGGGGAGCAAACAGGAUUAGAUACCCCGGUAGUC